rnacentral:rRNA from 1 species
AUGGGGCACGCCCGCGUCCGUCGCAGAUCUACCCGGAUCCGCCGGUCCGUCGCAGAUCUACCCGGAUCCGCCGGUCCGUCGCAGGAGCCGAAUUCCCAGCCGCCUCCCCCCGAGUCAACGGUCUGCCCCAACGCCCCGGCGCGUUUCCUGCUGCGGGGCGAGAGCUCCAAGGGUUGGGCUGCGCGUUCUCCUGCGGUCCAUGGGGAGCACCCCUGCUCUGGGAAGAACAAGCUAAAGUCCAUCGUAUUUGUGCCUUUCCCCGCACCGCCCCUUUCCUCUUCGGGCAACGAGGACGACUGGACAGAGGUCAAAUCGCGGAAGGGGCGGCGAGCGCUCCAGAAGCCAGCAGGCAAGCCCAGGCGCCGCCCGUCGGGGCGGUCGGGCAGGCGCCCUGCCAUUAAUGGCGACGCGGGCCAUGCCGCCUUCUUAAGCCGCUUCGACGGCCUGUGUUUUCAUUGCCUCAGCAGUAGCCAUCGCCGUGUAGACUGUCGAGAUCCGCUGUGCUGCAUCAUUUGCAAGCUGCAAGGCCACUACCGCAGGGAGUGCCCGCAGAAUCCAAAGAGCCGAGGUGGGACGGGCGGCUCCACCCAGAGUCACCGGCCACCACCUCAGCGUGGCCCGGUGAAGGAACGACUACGCUUCCCCACGCCGCCGCCGUCGGAGUCGCCUCCGACCGCCAUGGAUCGCCAGGCAUACCUCACCGACCCCUCGCACCGCCCAAGGACAAGCUACAAGGUGGUGGUGACCACGCCGGCCAUGGAACACCAGGAGUUCCUGCUUCACAAGCAUGCGGUGCUCCUCACGGCCUCGACGACGCAGCACGCGACCAGCCCAAUGGGCCGUGCAAUCGAGGAGUAG